rnacentral:rRNA from 1 species
UACGAAGGGUGCAAGCGUUACUCGGAAUUACUGGGCGUAAAGCGUGCGUAGGUGGUUUGUUAAGUCUGCUGUGAAAGCCCCGGGCUCAACCUGGGAAUGGCAGUGGAUACUGGCAAGCUAGAGUGCGGUAGAGGAGAGUGGAAUUCCCGGUGUAGCAGUGAAAUGCGUAGAGAUCGGGAGGAACAUCAGUUGCGAAGGCGGCUCUCUGGACCAGCACUGACACUGAGGCACGAAAGCGUGGGGAGCAAACAGGG